AAAAAUAUUUAUUUACCAUCCUAGGAAGAGUUUGAAGAUAUGAAGAGUAAUGAAAUGCACAUUCUGGUAAUUCACCCCUUUAACAAGCUCCCAGCAAAGCACUGUACACCAAGGCACUAAACAAUCCUCUGAAUGAAGAUUAAAACUAUUGUCUACUAAGAGGGGUAGGUUUGACCAUUGCUGACCCACCCGGAGAGAAGGGCAUCGGCAUAGGAGGACAGACAAAAACAAGAGGGCAAAAGAACACGAAACCACCACAGGCGAAAGCACAAACGAGAAAGAGUCCACGUCAGUGGACUUGAUAGACAUCUAAGAGCUCUGUGACUUCCCACUUCAAAGAUGGCCAAUCCGGCAGCACUUUCAUUCAUGUGCGUAUGCUAUAUGAUGGCAUGAGACGCUUCAGAGCUCUUCGGUCCAGCACACUGCCACACUUCCGACUCGACCAUUGAACACCACAGCAUGGAUCUAGAUAGCAUGGCCUAAGUGUAACUGUAUACUCCUUAUUUAUUCUGGUUCUGAGUUUCCUCCCUCGGCAAUAAUAUGAUUACGUACAGCUGCACAGUAAUUAACUAUAUGCACUGAAUAUUGCAAAACUGUAGGUUUUAUACACAAUAUUGACGAUAUAUAUAUUUCAUGUAUGACAGGUGAAUUUAUGCUUUUAAAUUUUCCAUGUAUUUAUGCUUGUACCGAUAUAUAUACCCCCUGGGUCACUGUUGUACCAUGCUUGAAAAAGGUUGUAAGGGCAACCGAAACAUUGCAUCCUGUUCACAUGAUGGAAUAACGCUAUCCACAU